CUCACCCACUCAUUCCACUCCUUAGAAACAUAAUAUAAAAACGGGUUACAUAGAGAAAUAGAGAGAAAGGGUACGUAGAGUCUGAAGGAGAAAGAAAAGAGAACAAAAAUUCACUUUGCUGAGACAAGUAUAGAGAUAGGAGAGCAAAGACCGCCGCUUGAGGAGUUUAACGACGGUUAUUACGAAGAUGACAACCCCAAUCUGCUUCACCGAGAUGGUUUUCUUUCCGGGGAUACGAUAUAACCUACCUGAUGACGAGUUGAUUUAGUGGAGAGUGACCGGUCUAAGGAGCAUCCUGGAGUUAGAUGCUGGUGUUGAGCCUAGUUGAUUAGCUUUAGUCUUUUUAUUUCCUUUUGUUGAGAACCUAAACAUGGAUGGUUAUGUUGGACAAAUUUUAUGCUUCUGUUUAUUCCUUUAUGUUGUAGUACUGUUCGUACUUAAAAUAUUUAUGUAGUAGGAAUCCCAAAACUACUUUUGAAUCAAGAAUGGUUUUUCAAUUGAAUGUGAUCUUAUGCUUUUGUAUUCCAACGUGUAUCACUUGGGAGGAUCAUUAAUGGAGUUUGGAACUUUGAAGGAAA